CUCCCGGUUGAUCCCGCCGGACCCGACUGCUAUCAGAGUGGGACUAAGCCAUGCGAGUCAACAUAGCAAUAUGUGGCAUACGGCUCAGUAACACGUAGUCAACAUGCCCGGGGGACGUGGAUAACCUCGGGAAACUGAGGAUAAACCGCGAUAGGUCAUCACUUCUGGAAUGGGUAAUGACUUAAAUCUAUAUGGCCCCUGGAUUGGACUGCGGCCGAUCAGGCUGUUGGUGAGGUAAUGGCCCACCAAACCUGUAACCGGUACGGGCUCUGAGAGGAGGAGCCCGGAGAUGGGCACUGAGACAAGGGCCCAGGCCCUAUGGGGCGCAGCAGGCGCGAAACCUCUGCAAUAGGCGAAAGCUUGACAGGGUUACUCUGAGUGAUUUCCGUUAAGGAGAUCUUUUGGCACCUCUAAAAAUGGUGCAGAAUAAGGGGUGGGCAAGUCUGGUGUCAGCCGCCGCGGUAAUACCAGCACCCCGAGUGGUCGGGACGUUUAUUGGGCCUAAAGCAUCCGUAGCCGGUUCUACAAGUCUUCCGUUAAAUCCACCUGCUUAACAGAUGGGCUGCGGAAGAUACUAUAGAGCUAGGAGGCGGGAGAGGCAAGCGGUACUCGAUGGGUAGGGGUAAAAUCCGUUGAUCCAUUGAAGACCACCAGUGGCGAAGGCGGCUUGCCAGAACGCGCUCGACGGUGAGGGAUGAAAGCUGGGGGAGCAAACCGGAUUAGAUACCCGGGUAGUCCCAGCUGUAAACGAUGCAGACUCGGUGAUGAGUUGGCUUAUUGCUAACUCAGUGCCGCAGGGAAGCCGUUAAGUUUGCCGCCUGGGGAGUACGGUCGCAAGACUGAAACUUAAAGGAAUUGGCGGGGGAGCA
rnacentral:rRNA from 1 species